UGCAAGUUGGAUCACCCUGAGCCAAUCAGCUAGCUUAAUUAACAAUAUAAUUCAACAACAUUUAUAACAGAACAAAACCUAACAACAUAAACUAAACCAUUCUUUUACCUGAGUACGGGAGACAGAAAAGGUUCAACCAGAAGCAAUAGAGAAAGUACCGCAAGGAAAGCUGAAAGAGAAGUGAAACAACCCAUAUAAGCACUAGAAAACAAAGACUAAACCUUGUACCUUUUGCAUCAUGAUUUAGCCAGUACCCUCAAGCAAAGAGACCUUUGUUUGAAACCCCGAAACCAGGUGAGCUACCCCGAGACAGCCUAUGUUAAUUUAGGGCUAACCCGUCUCUGUGGCAAAAGAGUGGGAAGAGCUCCGGGUAGAAGUGACAGACCUACCGAACCUGGUGAUAGCUGGUUGCCUGGGAAGUGGAUAGAAGUUCAGCCUCGUACCCCCUAAACCAAAAGAAAUAUUACCAAGAUAUUGAAGGAGAAAUACGAGAGUUAGUUAAAGGGGGUACAGCCCCUUUAACAAAGGAUACAACCUUUACAGGAGGAUAAAGAUCAUAAUAUAUAAAACAUACUGUUCUAGUGGGCCUAAAAGCAGCCACCUAAGUAGAAAGCGUUAAAGCUCAGACAGAAAGAAGUUUAUUAUACCGAUAAAAAAUCUUACUCCCCUAAUUAUACCAGGCCAACCCAUGCCCCCAUGGAAGAAAUUAUGCUAAAAUGAGUAACAAGAAGACUCGCUCUUCUCCCGGCACAAGUGUAGACCAGAUCGGACUAACCACUGGAAUUUAACGAACCCAACCAAAGAGGGCAUUGUGAACAAUAUAGACCUCAGGAAGAGCUCACAGCUAAAAAUCGUUAACCCCACACUGGAGUGCUGUUUUAAGGGAAAGACUAAAAGAAAGGGAAGGAACUCGGCAAACACAAGCCUCGCCUGUUUACCAAAAACAUCGCCUCCUGCAACUAGAUCGAGUAUAGGAGGUCCAGCCUGCCCAGUGACUACGGGUUCAACGGCCGCGGUAUUUUGACCGUGCAAAGGUAGCGCAAUCACUUGUCUCUUAAAUAGAGACCUGUAUGAACGGCUAGACGAGGGCUUAACUGUCUCCCCCUUCCAGUCAGUGAAAUUGAUCUAUCCGUGCAGAAGCGGGUAUAACCAUACAAGACGAGAAGACCCUUUGGAGCUUAAGGUACAAAGUUCAACCACGUGAAACGACUUUAUAAAAAGCAAGAACUUAGUGGCGAGUGAAACUUUACCUUCGGUUGGGGCGACCACGGAGGAAAAGCAAGCCUCCGAGUGGACUGGGCCAAACCCCUAAAGCUAAGAGAAACAUCUAUAAGCCGCAGAACAUCUGACCAAAUAUGAUCCGACUAAAAAGCCGAUCAACGGACCAAGUUACCCCAGGGAUAACAGCGCAAUCCUCUCCCAGAGUCCAUAUCGACGAGGGGGUUUACGACCUCGAUGUUGGAUCAGGACAUCCUAAUGGUGCAGCCGCUAUUAAGGGUUCGUUUGUUCAACGAUUAAAGUCCUACGUGAUCUGAGUUCAGACCGGAGCAAUCCAGGUCAGUUUCUAUCUGUAACGCUACUUUUCCUAGUACGAAAGGAUCGGAAAAGAGGGGCCCAUGCUCGAAGCAUGCCCCGCCCCUAAUUCAUGAAAACAAAUAAAUUAAGUAAAGGGAGGGCCAAAACCCCUGCCGCUCAAGAUAAGGGCA
rnacentral:rRNA from 1 species